rnacentral:rRNA from 1 species
UACGUAGGGGGCUAGCGUUGUCCGGAAUCAUUGGGCGUAAAGCGCGCGUAGGCGGCCAGAUAAGUCCGGUGUGAAAGUCACAGGCUCAACCUGUGAAUGCCGCUGGAAACUGUCUGGCUAGAGUCUGGAAGGGGCGAGUGGAAUUCCUGGUGUAGCGGUGAAAUGCGCAGAUAUCAGGAGGAACACCAAUGGCGAAGGCAGCUCGCUGGAACGGUACUGACGCUGAGGCGCGAAAGCGUGGGGAGCGAACAGG